AACGCAACUGGCGCCGGCUUACAGUCAUGCCUGCUUCAGUGUGCUAGGAGAAUAAACGCCCAUUAUAAAAUAUAAUGCGAUUGAGGCACAUUUAUGCUCUUCUUUCGUUCAUUAUGAAGGGGUGAAAGAUGAGUAAUCUCUCACACUGGCAAACGAAGUAGUCAUGCUUGUUCGUGAUCUCGUUUAACCAAUGCUAAUGGUUUUUGCUUAGCUAUAAAUCACCUCUAAUCAAUUAAAUAUUUCCAAAAGUGUCAUCUGGGAUCAGACAAGGAUACCCGCUGAACUUAA
rnacentral:misc_RNA from 1 species